GACGGAGGGGGCUAGCGUUGUUCGGAAUUACUGGGCGUAAAGGGCGCGUAGGCGGCCUGGAAAGUCAGAUGUGAAAGCCCAGGGCUCAACCCUGGAAUUGCAUUUGAUACUGCCUGGCUGGAGGUUGAUAGAGGAGAGUGGAAUACCCAGUGUAGAGGUGAAAUUCGUAGAUAUUGGGAGGAACACCAGUGGCGAAAGCGGCUCGCUGGCUCAUAUCUGACGCUGAGGAGCGAAAGCGUGGGGAGCAAACAGG
rnacentral:rRNA from 1 species